ACAUUUCCUUUCUUCUAAAAAGGACUGAACCACUGACUUUGGGCACCAACAAGGAAUGAAUAUAAUUCGCUCAUACAGUCUUGUUCUCCAAGGACAAGCCUAGAAUACAUACUCUGACAUUGCUCCUGACCCGCAGCCUCUCCCCACACUCUGAAGGCUGAAGGCUGGCUGACCUGGAGAGCAGGUUUCCUCACAGGUUCCUUUUUCAUCUUCAUCUGCUCACAGAAUGAAAUUCCUGCUCAGCGGGUGGACUCACCAGGGCCCCUUGGGCUUCCGAAUCCAGCCCUCCGAGCCUCUGUAUUCUGUUCCAUGGGGAGGACAACACAGCCACCCAGAAGCCAUGAUUCAUCAGACGAGCAUAUUUGGGAAGCUGCACAUCUCCUCCAUGCCUCCGUGUUUCCUCAGGAUAAACAAUAGAAUGUGUCGGAUAAUAAAGCCGUGAUGGAAAUGUCCGCACCUUGGGCAGGUGCCUGUCUGUGCCAGGUUACGUGGCAAAGCAAUCCAGGGUAUCCAGGGCAAUCCCCAAGAUGAUGGGAACUGGAUUAUUUGUGGUUUUGCUUUGUUUGGGGGAAGCCCACGUCAGUAAACUUCCAUAGGUUUGGAUCUCAUAGCAUGCCACUGGACAUGGGCAAGGCUGCAAGUGUGGACGUGUGUGGCCACAGAUUGCUGCAGGAUUACCCUCCGUGCAUCUUUCCCGAGCGAGCACUUCCUUGAGAUGCUCAGAAGCAGCCAAGUGGGUGCAGACACCUGCUUUCAGUGGGACUUUGUUAAGUAAUACAUAUGUCGAGGAGACUCAGUUGCAUCUACUUCACCCAGAGGCCUCUGCAGAGACAACUAGGCAGCACCGUGGAAGCUUCCAGAAGGAAACACAUAUGGAUGGA